CCAAUAGCGUAUAUUAAAGUUGUUGCAGUUAAAAAGCUCGUAGUUGAAUUUCGGGAUUGACACAUCGGUCGUGCCUUAAGGGGUAUGAACUGGUGUAGUCAGUUUCUCACCUUCUGGAGAACCGCGAUGUCCUUAAUUGGGUGCCGCGAGGAACCCGGACCUUUACUUUGAAAAAAUUAGAGUGUUUAAAGCAGGCAUUUUGCUUGAAUACAUUAGCAUGGAAUAAUAAAAUAGGACGGAUGGUUCUAUUUUGUUGGUUUCUAGGAUCACCGUAAUGAUUAAUAGGGAUAGUUGGGGGCAUUAGUAUUCAAUUGUCAGAGGUGAAAUUCUUGGAUUUAUUGAAGACUAACUACUGCGAAAGCAUUUGCCAAGGAUGUUUUCAUUAAUCAAGAACGAAAGUUAGGGGAUCGAAGACGAUCAGAUACCGUCGUAGUCUUAACCAUAAACUAUGCCGACUAGGAAUCAGACGAUGUUAAUUUUUUAAUGACUCGUUUGGCACCUUACG
rnacentral:rRNA from 1 species